AACAAAAGCCAAUCUUUCACUGACAGACGUCAUUUUUGACAAAUGUCACGACUGACAGAUCCACAACUUAGAAUUAUUGUGUUUAGCUCAUGUUUAUUUUCAAACUUGAAUAUUUAACAUUCCGCGUUAAUGAGAAUCGGUGACUUAUGAGACACCGCUUUGACCUCACUAUGCAGCUGUCAAAAAUACAAUUUUAUGGUUAUCUUCGUUGCGCCACUACGUAUUUAGUAGUGUUCGAAGCCCCUGUGUUGCCUCUACUCAUUACGAGAUAUUUGUAAGCGGCAAAGCGGUCCAAUUACUUCAAUAGUUUCAGACAAACCCUUAUAAUGACACGAAAUUAAAUACAAUCAAUGUGAACAAGCUAACUAACUUAAUAAUCACUGUUGCUUAUAUUACGUUCCAUACUACACAAACAGUAAAGUUGAAUAUUUUUAUUUUGUUGAUAGUAUUCGAGAACUUUACUGAAUGUUUUUUUCAAAAACGAAAUGUUGUCAGUGCCGAAAAUAAAAAAAUACCCAAGUACA